ensembl:rRNA 5S_rRNA 5S ribosomal RNA
GCUUACGGCCACACCGCCUUGUUCACGCCCGGUCUCGUUUGAUCUCGGAAGCUAAGAUAGGUUGGGCCUGGUUAGUACUUGGAUGGGAGACCGCCUGGGAAUACCAGGUGCUGUAAGGC